UACGGGUUGCUUACUGCUAGUAUUGAUUAAUAUUUAAAAAAAUUUUAGAUUCUAAUUGCAUUUCAAAAUACGAUGCUUUAUGAAAUCUUAAGCAAGUUCAAUGAAAUGAUGACAAUUACUCAUCUCAGGUUUUCUAGGUUUAUAAUUGCUAUUUGAGUUGCAAAUCAAUGAAGCUUGUGUAAUGGCAACAUUCAACUCUUAUCAGGAAAAAAAAUUUACAAAACUUAGUAUAAGACAAAUUUGUUGAUAAGCUCGCAACAUUGUUUUCAGACGAUAAAUAAAUCUAAAUUUUAUUUGGAAAAGAAGUAGAAUGGAACUUUUUUUUUUUUUUUUUUCUAUUUUUAUGCUAUAUUUUUCUAUACAAUGUUCUUAUAUCCGAAGAUAUUGUUGGCUUAGCAUGGGAACAGCCACAAAUAGUCAUUAAAACUAAUCCAAAGUAGCGUCCGUUAUUGACCAACAUUUUUGCGUAUUUUACAUUCAAAAAGUGACUUUUAGAUCAAGUCUGUAUAUCUGUCGAAAACCCAAUUGUAAAGUUAAAGCGAUGCUAUAGCCGAUGCCAUAUCUCAAUCUCUCUGUGUAUAUAUCUGUCAAAGAUCAAUCUACAAAUUUGUGACAUUUUCUCUAUUUCUUUUUGUUAAGGCUUUACCUGAAUAUUUGCUACCUAUUAUUUUUUUCAAAUAAAAUAUUGAAUUUAUAUUUAAAUAUAUAUAAUAUGACACCUAU